GGCUAGCCAAAUAUAGAUGACUCGUUAAUUUUAAUAUAGUAAAAUGGCUUCUUCACUGUUUAGUUAUGAAACUCUAGUACACGCUCUAGCCGGGGCUACGGGCAGUGUGGUGGGCAUGACAGCAUUUUACCCUUUGGAUACUAUAAGAACAAGAAUUCAAGUUGAAGAUUCAAAGAAACUCCAAGGCUCAUCAUGGGAGCUGCUCUUGAGACUAGCAAAUGAAGAAGGUAUAGAGUCACUCUAUCGUGGCUUAACACCCGUGCUGCAGUCACUCUCAGUAUCAAACUUUGUUUAUUUCUAUUCAUUCCACUCUCUACGUAAAGUUCUCUCUACAAAACCAUCUGCAUUGCAAGAUCUCAUGUUUGGUAUAAUUGCUGGCAGCAUCAAUGUGCUCAUCACUUCUCCACUCUGGGUGGUUAAUACUAGAAUGAAGAUGCAAACAAACACAUACACAAACUUGUUCCAAGGACUGUAUCAACUUUAUAGAAAGGAAGGAGCAAAGGGCCUGUGGUCGGGCACAAUUCCUUCUCUUCUUCUUGUCACAAACCCAGCCAUACAAUUCAUGGUAUAUGAAUCUUUGAAGAGAAACAUGACCUCUAAAGGCCAGUUUGAUACGUACACAGCAUUCCUAGCAGGUGCUGUCGCUAAAGCGAUUGCUACAACUGUGACAUAUCCUAUCCAGUUAGUGCAAUCCAGACUUCGUGCUGGUACAGGUCUGAAGCCUCUUGUUAAGGACGUAAAGGACAAACCAUCUACUUUGUUCAGGGGUCUGGAAGCCAAGCUUCUCCAGACUGUAAUGACGGCAGCUCUCAUGUUUUUGAUCUAUGAAAAACUUGUCCGUUUGGUAUUGACUAUUAUGAGAGUAAGAAUGACCAAACGAUAAUCAUAAUGACGUGUAUGUGUUUUAAAAUGUAUAAUAAUGAGAAUAAUUUUAAUAUUCAUAAUGCCAGACUAUUUUUAUCAGCCUGCAAUGACAGCCAAGUUUUAUUUAAGUUAUCUCUAUACUCACUUGCAUUUUGUCUUAUGAGUCUAUACUACCUCAAAUGGUUGAUUCUGCAUAACAGUGAAAGUGUUGAAUCAAAUACAUUGGAAAAAAUUAUAUGGUAAAAUUGAGGAUAUACAAUGAUUACUAUAUGUGAAAACAUGAUUCCUAAAAAUGUUCACGAAAGAAAAAAUCACAAACGUACCUCGUAAUUUUAGAAGAAAACUGAUGAUUUUUUUUAAUAUCAAGUAAACAAAAUAGAACACUUAUACUAUAUGAUAUACAUAUUUCAAAUGGCUUUAAUUUCAUUUGUAAAAAAAUAAAGCCACUGUCCCUGCCACUCGACCUAAGCAAAAUGAACUGUAUUAGUAGGGGAAAAAUUUGAAUUUAAACUGAGGUAGUAUUGACUCUUAGGGUAAGGUAUAGUAUAACGGGCCGUUGUCCGCAAUUCGACGUCCAUGCGCCUAUUUUGCAUGUAGUGCAGGUGCAGGGUCCUACUCGUGCCAACCAAGCUCCUCCAAAAACCUUGACACCCUUCUGGGAGCGACCUCGGCACUCCAAAGGCCUCUUAAGAAGCUGGAUGCUGCAAGUGAUGGUGUAACUCAGCUAUUAACAAAUCAGCAAGCGCGAGUGGCGCAGCUCGCGGUGCAGCAGGGCUGUACGGCUGGAUAGAACAAAGUGCGCUGCGGAGAGCUUCGCAGCAUGCCGACCCUGCUUCUACGACGCGCCCGCCGCUUAGCAGGGCACGAAUACACCCUGCUCCGUCUACUUCCUGUGAAAUAGUUUAGCAGCAUCAGCAUUAGCGCAAACAGAUAAAAUUAGAUAAACUUUUGUCUACCGUCAUCCCAAUGUAACAGUAAGCUCAGUACCCUCGAAUCUGUACAAAUGACGUUAUUUUUUAGAGUAAACUGACAGCUUGAGAGAAGACAUACUUUUUGUCUUCGUGCUCAUGCUAAGUCUACAGAAUAUAUCCCAACAAGCAGACGCGAAAAACCAGUGAGCAUAAAUAAUACUAGAGACGCAAUGUCCUACAAACAGUUGUCUAAAAUGUGGGACCACUUUGCAAAUUUAAAGACUAGCUUUGAAACUGAUUGAAAUUUCAAAGAAAAAUAUAUUUGUCUCAUUUUUUCGAAUGUCAAACUUAUUAUGUCAAAAUGAAAUAGUAGUAGUGCAUUAAGAGAUACGACCAGUGUUACCGGUUUAGAAAUGAUUUUCCCUAAUUUCUUGUAGCCUCACUGGUGGAAAGAGACACGAUGGAGAUAGAUAGUAAUCAUCUUUCUAAACUAUGGAACUCUUUGCUUUUCUAGUAUUUUUUUAUUUAUUGGAUAAAGAUGAUAAAAAGACUGUCUUCCGACAAAGUUUCUGUUUCUAUUUAAUGAAAACAAAAAUGUAUAAAGGGGUAGGUAUUACAAAUUACUUGAUACAUAAACAUUUAACUAUAGUUUAUUACAAAUUAUUAAACGCCACUGUGCAUCAUUCAUUAGCCUGUUGUACAAUUGCCUUGUGUUUUGUUACUCAAAGUAUCUUUUUGUAAAAGUCGUAUAAUUUUUAUCCACUCCGUUGCGCGUUCGAUCUUUAAGUAUUCUGGGAAACAAACAAAAUGUCAUUUUUAAUAGUAUUACGUAUUAAUAGUACCUAUUACGGUUACACUUUACGUUAAAACGUUACAACGAAUAAACUUGGAUUAGAAUCACUUUUGACUACAAGGUCAAAAGUAACUUCAAAAGGGUUAACUCCCAAUAUUAUGGGCAAAUGAAAAUUGAUUUACUGGCAACAUUGAUGUUUAAAAUAAAUUUAUUUCAUUUUUAUUUUUAUUGACGACAAUCUAAACAAACAAAAGCAAAACUUACCUGUGGAAAGUAAACUCAGUAGUUUUAUGAUCAUUUUCGAACCGAGAAUUGCAAAUUUUAAUUACAUAUUUCACAAUUUUUGAUACUUUGUUGUCACGUCUCGGUGACUUUGCACUCACUCGAAUUCAAGAUGGCGACUGGUUUCACUGUUGUCAGUGGACAACAGUGCCAUGGGGCCGCGUUUGGAGGCGCAGAUUGCGCAUCUAUUGUUUACAAGUAUAAUAUCAUUGCGGAAACAGUUAAAAUUAAAUAUGAUAGCGUUAAGUUUCGCGUUUCCUUGUAAAGUUGGCUUUUUUCACUAGAGCCACAGAUAGCUACAGACAGCGGCGAUCGGUCGCUGUUAAUUUAUGCGGGUCAAUGACCGCUGUUGUCAUGUUAAAUGGAACAAAUAUAGUUUAAAUGAUUUAUAUUUGUCUGACGUGUCGUGUCGUGACUCGCUCUGACAUGAUGGUUAGCGUUCACAUCUACAUGUCGUGUUCUGACGCCUUCCGACGAUAUUUUGGAACAAUACCGUCGUGGCUCUCGGAGAGUUCGUACGUUCACAAUGUCUGACGGGUCACAACACAGCACUGGCGCGUGCACCCUUGUCUGAUCUGUAGUGCCGCAGCCGAUCCGCCGCCCCCCAACUAUUCCGUCCUGACGCAGGCCGGGAUCGCCUCUGACGCUACACAACACAAACCAUCACAAAACAUUGCGACACAGUAACGUAAAUCUCACCAUAUUAAAUGUAUGAAACCGAUACCGUUCUGACGCGUCACGACACAACACGUCAGACUAUAUUUGUCUGACGUGUCGUGUCGAAUCCGCCUUAUGUUUCUCUGUUAUAUUGUCAAGUUGUUGGAGGUUAAAUAUUUUUAAUAGAGCAAACCUUUUUAGUAUGUGCGUUCCUUUGUAAUUCAAAAUUAAAUAUCUUUUCAUGUUUCUAUGUCAUUGUUUUUUCGAUGACAUUAUACUUUUGACUGCAGUCGUCAAUAAAUGUGUUUUUACAUAAUUUACUUAGAUCUAUUUUAUUGUUUCUGAUCCGAAUCUCCCAGAUGUCUGUGAGGUAUCCAUAAACUCUGGAUUUCUCCACAUAAGUUUAUUGACUCUUUAUGCCACAGAGAUUUUUUAACUACAUUUGAGUAAAGUUACGCCAUG